UCAGACAUAGGAAUGGAUUGCCCAGGCAGGUGGGAGAGUCACCGUUCUUGGGGAUGUUUAAGGAAAGGUUGGACGUGGUGCUUAGGGACAUUGUUUAGUGUGUGAUAUUUUUUUGAACUGGUGGGUUAGCU